rnacentral:rRNA from 1 species
GAUGAACGCUGGCGGCGUGCCUAAUACAUGCAAGUCGAGCGAAAGGAUUAAGAGCUUGCUCUUAUGAAGUUAGCGGCGGACGGGUGAGUAACACGUGGGUAACCUGCCCAUAAGACUGGGAUAACUCCGGGAAACCGGGGCUAAUACCGGAUAACAUUUUGAACCGCAUGGUUCGAAAUUGAAAGGCGGCUUCGGCUGUCACUUAUGGAUGGACCAGCGUCGCAUUAGCUAGUUGGUGAGGUAACGGCGCACCAAGGCAACGAUGCGUAGCCGACCUGAGAGGGUGAUCGGACACACUGGGACUGAGACACGGCCCAGACUCCUACGGGAGGCAGCAGUAGGGAAUCUUCCGCAAUGGACGAAAGUCUGACGGAGUAACGCCGCGUGAGUGAUGAAGGCUUUCGGGUCGCAAAACUCUGUUGUUAGGGAAGAACAAGUGCUAGUUGAAUAAGCUGGCACCUUGACGGUACCUAACCAGAAAGCCACGGCUAACUACGUGCCAGCAGCCGCCGUAA